AACAGAGUUAACAAUUUAAAAGAGGAUCAGUGGCUUAAAUGCCAAGAGUCCUACCACAGAAAUGGCUACCUCCUAAGCACAUAUUACUAGAUUAAUAUUGGUAUACAAAGGAAAUAUGAUAGGAGAUUGUUACAAGAGAAACUAUGUGUUACAAGAGAAACUGGAGCCAAAGUAUAUAGAGGAUUCUGCCACCUUUUGGGAAAUCUCAGCAUAUGUUAUGAAAAAGUCAAAGGGAAAACAUUGAAUGUUAAUAGAUUUUAGAGUCGAAGUAGUAAAUAUUAAUGAAUACUUCCAUUAUAGCCUUUUGUUUCCUUUACCUUCCUUCUUAUCUAAGCAAUGAUUGUAAUUGAUUUAAAGAGGUGCAAUUUACUGUCCCUUGUAGUGAGCAGAAAAGAGAAAGUUUGACUUUAUUGUCUCUAAUUAUAACAAUGAUUAAUCCAUGAAAAUUAUUACAGGAUGAUAUUUUUUUCUAUAGGAAUGGUUGAAAGAUCUUUCACCAUGUCAAAAUCUUGUUCAAAAAUCACUGGAAAUGCUUUGUAGAUAAUAUUGGCAAUGCAAAAGUUUUCAUUACUUGGAUGGAAGUUUGUUGGCUGUUUCUAACACAGAUACUUCACAAAAAUCUUUAAAGAAAGAGUAUCCAAUCCAUUAUUCUGGCUUUGAAUGCAGGACAUAUCACAAUUCAAAGUGGCCAUGCAUGAGAGAGUAUUUGAUGUCUCUGAACACAUAAGUAAGCAACUGUACAUGAGAUUAUGGUAUGCAUACAUAGUAAUUUGUUGCAUUAAAUCUCCAACUCACAUAUACCCCAUUAAUGAAAAGAAGCUCAAUUAAUAUGAGUAGAUGCUGUGUGCCUAGAUUGGACAAAUUUACCUCUACACUAACAUCUUCCAUGUCUAUGAGACCAUUUAGACCUUGUGUUUUCUCUAGGCCAUGUCUUUAGCUCUGUAUUUCUUCUUCUUCCUCCAUCUCUGUCCUCUCACUCUUCCAUUUUCCUCUCCUUCUCUCUCCCAACUUUCUAUGCCACCUUCCCUUUAUCUGCUCAAUCAUCAGCUCUGUUUUUGGGAAGAUUUACAGGAAAUCACAUGAGUGCUGACUCAUUCCUUGUUCAUAAUCCCUCAGAGGAGAAUGGAAUUAGCAUAAAAUAUAAUGAGCCCCAGUACUUUAAAAAACAAUUACCACUCUCUGUCCAAUAAAUAGACUAUUUUACCUCAGAUAUAACUGUACACAACUAUUACUAUUUUGUAAUUCAUUAAGUACAAGAGACCUAACAUCCAGUCCAUCAUCUUUGUUAAUUAAAUAGAACCUCUGUCAUUUAUUCUUCCUUAAGAGACUUUAAAUUCUACAUCUGGCUAUGUCCUGGCCUUUGAAUGCCAUCUGAAAAUCAUCCUCUCAAAACUGUUCCUCUCAAAGUGAACAUCCUGGGUUUGCUAAGAGACUAUGUCAUUUUUAAAUCCCAUGAGAAAUCCAAGAAUGAAUGAUAUUAACUGAAAAUAUAUAGGAAGCAAAACACAGCUUGAAACUUUUACCAAUUUAUAGACACUGCUGAUCACUUGGGAAGUCCCUAACUUCAACACUUUAGAGCAUCUGACUUCAGCCUACUGGCCAGGUUCAUCUCACAGACUUAGAGAAACAGGAAUAUUAAGGACUAGCAUACUCUUUUUCAGUAUAAUCCAGCUUUCUUAGCCUAUAAUUGUGUCCUUUCUUUGGACAGUAUUCUGUCUCUUUAUGAAAUAAGGCAUUUCUUGCCUAGUGGCUGUUUUGCCACAUCUAGAGUAACUCAAAGAUGCUCAGUUUCUUUUUUGAAUCCAAGAAAGGGAAAACUAGUCUCAACAAUAAGUGAAUAAAUAGCAUUAACCAUCACAUUCAGUGGACUUCUGAUGUUUUUGAAAACCAACUAUCUAUGUGAAGUAAUCUGGACUGUUCUCUGCUACCUACUCUCAGGCAUUUCUGAUUAAAUAAAUGAAAACACCCUAACAAUAAACUCAGGGUCAUGAAUUUUUUAUUUGGUCCUUAACUCACAGGCUUAAAUAUCUCUGAUCUGUUUAUAAUAACAGCUAUAGAAGGACUGGUUCUAAGCCCUGUACUUCAAAAGUUUUAAGUUCAAAGAAAACCAAUGAUAAGCACCUCUAGUCCUAAAGACUAGGGAACUGGAAUGAAGACUCUUCAUAACUUCUUCUAGCUGAAUAUGGGUGUUGAGAUAAUUUUGAAAGGAUGAGAAAGGGUAGGGAAAUGUUGCAAUCGUUGACUUUAAGAAGGCAAAAGUAAUGAUUGUCUCUGAUGUCUGCGUCCUGAAUGGAUCUGGAUGAAAAACCAAAACAACAGGAGUUCAGGCAGGUCAGUUCAGCAUGUCUGAAGAUGAAUUCACCAAGGCUGUAUAUUCUGUAAUAUAUAAAUC
rnacentral:lncRNA from 1 species